rnacentral:rRNA from 2 species
CGAACGAACUCUGGUAUUGAUUGGUGCUUGCAUCAUGAUUUACAUUUGAGUGAGUGGCGAACUGGUGAGUAACACGUGGGAAACCUGCCCAGAAGCGGGGGAUAACACCUGGAAACAGAUGCUAAUACCGCAUAACAACUUGGACCGCAUGGUCCGAGUUUGAAAGAUGGCUUCGGCUAUCACUUUUGGAUGGUCCCGCGGCGUAUUAGCUAGAUGGUGGGGUAACGGCUCACCAUGGCAAUGAUACGUAGCCGACCUGAGAGGGUAAUCGGCCACAUUGGGACUGAGACACGGCCCAAACUCCUACGGGAGGCAGCAGUAGGGAAUCUUCCACAAUGGACGAAAGUCUGAUGGAGCAACGCCGCGUGAGUGAAGAAGGGUUUCGGCUCGUAAAACUCUGUUGUUAAAGAAGAACAUAUCUGAGAGUAACUGUUCAGGUAUUGACGGUAUUUAACCAGAAAGCCACGGCUAACUACGUGCCAGCAGCCGCGGUAAUACGUAGGUGGCAAGCGUUGUCCGGAUUUAUUGGGCGUAAAGCGAGCGCAGGCGGUUUUUUAAGUCUGAUGUGAAAGCCUUCGGCUCAACCGAAGAAGUGCAUCGGAAACUGGGAAACUUGAGUGCAGAAGAGGACAGUGGAACUCCAUGUGUAGCGGUGAAAUGCGUAGAUAUAUGGAAGAACACCAGUGGCGAAGGCGGCUGUCUGGUCUGUAACUGACGCUGAGGCUCGAAAGUAUGGGUAGCAAACAGGAUUAGAUACCCUGGUAGUCCAUACCGUAAACGAUGAAUGCUAAGUGUUGGAGGGUUUCCGCCCUUCAGUGCUGCAGCUAACGCAUUAAGCAUUCCGCCUGGGGAGUACGGCCGCAAGGCUGAAACUCAAAGGAAUUGACGGGGGCCCGCACAAGCGGUGGAGCAUGUGGUUUAAUUCGAAGCUACGCGAAGAACCUUACCAGGUCUUGACAUACUAUGCAAAUCUAAGAGAUUAGACGUUCCCUUCGGGGACAUGGAUACAGGUGGUGCAUGGUUGUCGUCAGCUCGUGUCGUGAGAUGUUGGGUUAAGUCCCGCAACGAGCGCAACCCUUAUUAUCAGUUGCCAGCAUUAAGUUGGGCACUCUGGUGAGACUGCCGGUGACAAACCGGAGGAAGGUGGGGAUGACGUCAAAUCAUCAUGCCCCUUAUGACCUGGGCUACACACGUGCUACAAUGGAUGGUACAACGAGUUGCGAACUCGCGAGAGUAAGCUAAUCUCUUAAAGCCAUUCUCAGUUCGGAUUGUAGGCUGCAACUCGCCUACAUGAAGUCGGAAUCGCUAGUAAUCGCGGAUCAGCAUGCCGCGGUGAAUACGUUCCCGGGCCUUGUACACACCGCCCGUCACACCAUGAGAGUUUGUAACACCCAAAGUCGGUGGGGUAACCUUUUAGGAACCAGCCG